UACAGAGGUCCCAAGCGUUGUUCGGAUUCAUUGGGCGUAAAGGGUGCGUAGGCGGCGCGGUAAGUCGGGUGUGAAAUCUCGGAGCUUAACUCCGAAACUGCAUUCGAUACUGCCGUGCUUGAGGACUGGAGAGGAGACUGGAAUUUAAGGUGUAGCGGUGAAAUGCGUAGAUAUCGUAAGGAAGACCAGUGGCGAAGGCGGGUCUCUGGACAGUUCCUGACGCUGAGGCACGAAGGCUAGGGGAGCAAACGGG
rnacentral:rRNA from 1 species